rnacentral:rRNA from 1 species
UACGGAGGGUGCAAGCGUUAUCCGGAUUCACUGGGUUUAAAGGGUGCGUAGGUGGGUAGGUAAGUCAGUGGUGAAAUCUCCAAGCUCAACUUGGAAACUGCCGUUGAUACUAUUUAUCUUGAAUAUAGUGGAGGUGAGCGGAAUAUGUCAUGUAGCGGUGAAAUGCUUAGAUAUGACAUAGAACAUCGAUUGCGAAGGCAGCUCGCUACACUAUUAUUGACACUGAGACGCGAAAGCGUGGGGAGCGAACAGG